rnacentral:rRNA from 1 species
AUGACGAAGACAACAUUAUGGAGAUGGUUGAAGGAGGACAGACCGAAGCGCCAUACAAAUUCAAUUAAAUCCACACUGACUGAUGACAACAAGCUAGGUCGGAUUCGGUUUUGUUUAUCCAUGUUGGAUGAACUAAGUGUGCCUGAGGAACCCACAUUUAAAGGCAUGUACAAUGUCAUCCAUAUUGAUGAGAAGUGGUUCUACCGCACUAAAGGUACUCAGAACUACUACUUGGCACCUGAUGAAGAAGAACCCUAUCGCAGCACACAGAGCAAGGAAUUUAUUGAGAAAGUGAUGUUCUUGGCAGCGGUAGCAAGGCCUCGUUAUGAUGAUCAUGGUGUCAUGACAUUUGAUGGCAAGAUUGGAAUUUGGCCGUUCACAUACCAGGACUUGGCAAAGAGGCGUAGCCCUUACAGAGAGAGGGGGGAAGAGAAGAUGUCCCCCGGUAAAAUUGUUGAUAUUGUUGUGAAGGUGAAAAAAGCAUAUGACACGUACCCGGCCAAGAGAAGCAACCGUAUUUUUCUGACCCUUCAGUCAUGCAUGCGCGAGGUACUGAAGCAGAAAGGAGGUAACCGGUACAAGGUCCCGCACAUGAGGAAGUCAUUUCUGGCGGCACUCGAAAUGCUUCCGGACGUAGUACCCCGUGAUGCUGAUGUUGUAACUGUUGCUAUUGAGGCCCUUCCAGAUGCUUGA